rnacentral:piRNA from 1 species
UGGUGAUUAUUUUGCAACAGAAGAGUCA